UACGAAGGGGGCUAGCGUUGUUCGGAAUUACUGGGCGUAAAGGGCGCGUAGGCGGCUUUUCAAGCGUGCGGUGAAAGCUCGGGGCUUAACUCCGAGUCUGCCGUGCGAACUGGGAGGCUUGAGUCUGGUAGAGGUCGAUGGAAUUCCGGGUGUAGCGGUGGAAUGCGUAGAGAUCCGGAAGAACACCGGUGGCGAAGGCGGUCGACUGGGCCAGUACUGACGCUGAGGCGCGACAGCGUGGGGAGCAAACAGG
rnacentral:rRNA from 1 species